rnacentral:rRNA from 1 species
CCGAUCCUACGGGGGGCAGCAGUGGGGAAUAUUGGGCAAUGGAGGAAACUCUUACCCAGCAAUGCCGCGUGAAUGAAGAAGGUCUUCGGAUUGUAAAGUUCUUUAAUUGGGGACGAAAAAAAUGACGGUACCCAAGGAAUAAGCCCCGGCUAACUAAGUGCCAGCAGCCGCGGUAAUACGUAGGGGGCAAGCGUUGUUCGGAAUGACUGGGCGUAAAGGGGGCGUAGGCGGGGUAGCAAGUU